rnacentral:lncRNA from 1 species
CCUCUUUCUUCUUCUCUUCUGGGUUCGGUCCCUUUUUUUUUUUUUUUUUUCUUCUUCUUCUUCCUCCUCCUCCUCUUUCUUCUUCUCUUCUUCUUCUUCCUCCUUCUUCUGGGUUGCAGGGGUUCGGUCCCUUUUUUUUUUUCUUCCAAUUUCAGGUUUUUUUAAAAAAAAUUAAAAAUUAUUUUAUUUGCCACGUGGCAGACAUUUGGCAACCACAUGGCAUAUAUGUGGCAGCUAUGUCAGCAUUUAACAAAUCCAUGGAUGGAAAAUGUAACGGUUAUAUGAAAUUGAAAUAAAAUAAUACUUGAGGUAUGAAAGUGAAAUGUUUUAAAAAUGUUGUAUAAGAUUGCAAAUAGACCUCAAACCUAAGGGGCUACUAUGUAAUUUACCCUUUUUUUAAUUUCUAACUUUUUUUGGAACAAACAUUAUUUACACUAAAAAGAAGGAGGUGGGCUUAACCUUACAAGUGAACUAGUAAUAAUUUUAUUCAAAUUCAUCUUUGAUAAGAAUCGAACCUAAGACCUCUCACUUACAAGUGAACUAGUAAUAAUGUUAUUCAAAUUCGUCUUUGAUAAGAAUCGAAUUUAAGACCUCUCACUUACAAGUGAAGAAAAAUAUCACUAGACUGUAGUACUAAAUGAUUUUUAAUUUUUAACUAUUAAAUUCAAAUACUUCAAUGAAAUAAUGGAUAAAAUAAAAAAAACGUUUAGGAGGAAAAAUAUAGUAGUAAUUAUUAUUUUCCAUAAAGACUAAUGUUUAGAUUAUUUUGGGUAAAUCAUUUUUGAAAGUUCUUGAUUCUGGUGGGAAAACAUUAGUCUUGAAAAGUUUGAUACCAUUCAUUGCAGCAAGACGUUUAAAGCAGUAGUCUCUUCUUCUGGGGAAGUUUGUGCCUAAUCAUCCACCUCAUAUGACAUAUAAAGCCAGUUUUUUGUUUUCUUAAUAAUUAUUAGCAUUUGCCUACACAUUUUGUAUGUAUGAACAUAUUUUUUUUAGAAAAUGAGAAGGAGAGAGGGAGAGAG